UACGUAGGGUCCAAGCGUUAUCCGGAAUUACUGGGCGUAAAGCGUGUGUAGGUGGAUGUUUAAGUGAGAUGCGAAAUCUUGCGGCUCAACCGUAAGACUGUAUCUCAUACUGGGCAUCUUGAGGAUGGCAGAGGCAAGUGGAAUUACCGGUGUAGCAGUGAAAUGCGUAGAUAUCGGUAGGAACACCAAUGGCGAAGGCAGCUUGCUGGGCCAACCCUGACACUGAGACACGAAAGCGUGGGGAGCGAACAGG
rnacentral:rRNA from 1 species